UACGGAGGGGGCUAGCGUUGUUGCGGAAUUACUGGCGUAAAGCGCGGUGUUAGGCGGCAUAAGUAAGUCGGGCGUGAAAUCCCGACGGCUCAACCUGGAAGUGCACUCGAAACUGGCAUAGCUAGAGUCCUGGAGAGGAAGGUGGAAUGCUUGGUGUAGAGGUGAAAUUCGUAGAUAUCAAGCGGAACACCGGUGGCGAAGGCGGCCUCUGGACAGUGACUGACGCAUGAG
rnacentral:rRNA from 1 species